GCCAUGCAUGUCUAAGUAUAAGCUUUAAACGGCGAAACUGCGAAUGGCUCAUUAAAACAGUUAUAGUUUAUUUGGUGAUCGAUUACUAUUUGGAUAACCGUAGUAAUUCUAGAGCUAAUACAUGCGUCAAGGCCCGACUUCGGAAGGGCUGCGUUUAUUAGAUACAGAACCAACCUAGGCUCCGCCUAGUCCUUGUUGGUGAUUCAUAAUAACCCGGCGAAUCGCACGGCUUGUCCGGCGAUGGACCAUUCAAGUUUCUGACCUAUCAGCUAUGGACGGUAGGGUAUUGGCCUACCGUGGCGUUGACGGGUAACGGGGAAUUAGGGUUCGAUUCCGGAGAGGGAGCCUGAGAAACGGCUACCACAUCUAAGGAAGGCAGCAGGCGCGCAAAUUACCCAAUCCUGAUACAGGGAGGUAGUGACAAGAAAUAACAAUACAGGGCAAUUCUGUCUUGUAAUUGGAAUGAGUAGAUUUUAAAUCUCUUUACGAGUAUCAAUUGGAGGGCAAGUCUGGUGCCAGCAGCCGCGGUAAUUCCAGCUCCAAUAGCGUAUAUUAAAGUUGUUGCGGUUAAAAAGCUCGUAGUUGGAUUUCUGCCUUGGGCGACCGAUCCACCUUUCCUACGGGAUUGGUUGGUAUCAGGUUUGACCUUGGCUUUUUCUUGGGAUUCGUGCUCACGUACUUAACUGUGCGUUGACCGUGUUCCAAGACUUUUACUUUGAGGAAAUUAGAGUGUUUCAAGCAGGCUUAUGCCAUGAAUACAUUAGCAUGGAAUAAUAGGAUAUGACUUCGGUCAUAUUUUGUUGGUUUCUAGGACUGAAGUAAUGAUUAAUAGGGACAGUCGGGGCAUUCGUAUUUAACUGUCAGAGUGAAAUUCUUGGAUUUGUAAAGACGACUACUGCGAAGCAUUUGCCAGAUGUUUUCAUGAUCAGACGAAGUAGGGAUCGAGACGAUCAGAUACGUCUAGUCUACAUAACUAUGCGACUAGGAUGGGG
rnacentral:ncRNA from 1 species